UCCUUCUGCCAUGUGCGCUACUGUGCUCUUAAGUCCGACCGAGCAGCCACUGAGCUGAGGAAAAGCAGCAGCUGCACUCGCGGACUGGUCGUGUUGGUUGCCACAAUCUCGAUAUCUCUCGCCGCCUUUUCUUUCCUGAAAACUGUAGAGAAAUAGGAACGGUACACACACUAUCGAUCCACGCUAGGAGCGCGUAGCGCAAAGCAAUGAUCUGCGCGCGGCACACUGGAAACCUGGAUCACUAUACACAAAAGGAUUUGGCGAUGCCGGCGGCCAAGGAACCCGCCCAGGACCGCUCUCUUCCGCCUCGGCGCCUCUUCUCCGCCAUUGCCUCCUCGGGCCGUCAUUGUCGCCGGCGUGACCUUCCACCACGUCCCAGGUGAACCCUCCCCCCCUCACCCGAAUCCUUCAGUGCAGCGCAAGCCCCCGCCGCAUCGCUGUUGUCAUCUGACUGAACACAACUUCUGCUCUACUAUAUUCAUAUUCAUUUCUCCGUUUCUUUUAUGCUGGGUGAAAGUGAUACACAUCUGCGAAAAGAUGAGGUUGCUGCGCAUCUGCAAAAAGAUGAGUGUGCCACUAGGUGAUGCUUUACUGCCUGAUGCUGCAUCUCACAUCUUUGAUGGGUCUGGCCUGAUUCAUAAUCCAGCACCCCAGCACCUAGCCGUAUAUACUGUCACAUACAAAUUUCGAGCUGGGUUGCUAAAUUUCUUUGAUGCAACUGUGUCCAUAGCCUCCCAAAGAGCAUCUCCAGGUCAGGAACUGUGCAUGUCAAAAUUUGAUCUGUCAGCUGUUGAGCUCAGGGGCAAUAGUGCUUCUAAACACAGAUGCAUCCAUUUCAGAGUAUACAACACAUACCAUUUGCUACUGUUUUGCAGUGUAAGCUAGCUUAUCUUCUCUUGCAAUGUUACUUUUGAUGACUGAAUAUUGCUUUUGACUGACAUGUGAGAUCAUUGUUUUGACGACGGAAUGUUGCAAUGUCGGCAUGAAGCACGAAUGCUUAGCGAAUAUUUGAAAAGGGACCUGCUGGGUGAUUCAGCCUAUUAUACUUUUGUGUCGUUACUACUAUUUGUUAUACCGUUGUAGUUCUAAAUAAGCCGAAUGCAACCACAAGAAUUCUCAAUGUCAACUCGACCAAUAAUACCCGUUAAUAUCGCACAUGGACCACGACCUCGGUCCAAGCAUGGCUCGAUACAUUAGGUCAGGCUGGCUCAACACUAAAUAAUUUCGGGUCGUGUCAUACCUAGGCUGUGUUUUUUGUGCUUCGGCCAACCCACUAGGCCUAGUCCGAAUGUACAACUAUAAAUGAGAUGACUUAGAGACAUGUAGGAAUCGGGGAGAGUAUGUCUAUCAGAUGUAUUGCUUGAUCAACAUCACAUUUUACUGUUUUAUUUAUGUGAGUUUUUCUGUAAGGUUUUCUUAUGUAAAGUUUUUAAUAACGUAAUGUCAGGCAUAUGCUAUGUUAUAUCAUCUAUUUUCUUACUGGAUUUUU